UACGUAGGGGGGCAAGCGUUUGUCCGGAUUUAUUGGGCGUAAAGCGCUCGCAGGUGGUUCGUCGCGUCGUGCGUGAAAGACCCCGGCUCAACUGGGGGAGGUCGUGCGAUACUGAUCGACUGGAAGGCAGGAGAGGGUAGUGGAAUUCCCGGUGUAGUGGUGAAAUGCGUAGAUAUCGGGAGGAACACCAGUGGCGAAGGCGACUACCUGGCCUGUUCUUGACGCUGAGGCGCGAAAGCUAGGGGAGCAAACGGG
rnacentral:rRNA from 1 species